rnacentral:rRNA from 1 species
CCUACGGGAGGCACCGGUGGGGUUGUUGGAGGUGGGCGCUGCCCGAUCCAGCCGUGCGGCGUGAGUGAGGCCUGCCGUAGGGUUGUCCAGCUCUUUCGGUGGGGACGAUAAUGACGGUACCCGCAAAACAAGCCCCGGCUUACUUCGUGCCCCCAGCCGCGGUAAUACCAAGGGGGGUAGCGUUGUUCGGAAUCACUGGGCGUAAAGGGCGCGUAGGCGGCUUUGUAAUUCGGGGGUGAAAGCCUGUGGCUCAACCACAGAAUUGCCUUCCAUACUGCAUGGCUUGAGACCGGAAGAGGUUAGUGGAACUGCGACUGUAGAAGUGAAAUUCGUAGAUAUUCACAAGAACACCAGUGGCGAAGGCGGCUAACUGGUCCCGUUCUGACGCUGAGGCGCGAAAGCGUGGCGAGCAAACUAGAUUAGAUACCCUGGUAGUCCACCCCGUAAACGAUGAAUGCCAGCCGUUGGCGAGCUUGCUCGUCACUGGCGCAGCUAACGCUUUAAGCAUUCCGCCUGGGGAGUACGGUCGCAAGAUUACCACUCAGAGGACUUGACGGGGGCCCACACAAGCGGUGGAGCAUGUGGUUUAAUUCGAAGCAACGCGCACAACCUUACCAGCCUUUGACAUGUCCCGUGUGGAUCCUGCAGACAGGAUCCUUUCACUUCCGCUGGCGGGAACACACGUGCUGCAUGGCUGUCGUCACCUCGUGUCGUGAGAUGUUGAGUCACUCCCGCAACAACCCAGCCCUCGCCCUUAUUUGCCAUCAUUUGACUGGGCACUCUACGGGACUGCCGGUGAUUAACCCGAGAGGAACGUGGGAUGACGUCACUUCCUCCUGGCCCUUUACGGCUGGCUACACUCAUGCUAUAAUGGCGGUGACAAAGGCCACCGAACCCUCAGGUGAAGCUAUUCUUAAAGCCGUCUCAAUUCGAUUGCAAUCUGCACUCUAGUGGCUGACGGCGGAAUCCUUGUUAAUC